CGACGCCGCACUCCUGCCCACCCUGCUGGUGGCUGUGCGGUCGCCCCUGGCGCAGGUCCGCCGGGCGGCGAUGGAGUGUGUGGAGAAGGUGUCGGCGGCGAAGGGCGACCAAGGCCAAGCCGGUGCCACUGCUGCCGCUGGCCGGCCGGCUGGUCGCCUACCGCCAGGAGAUCAUCGCCGACGCCGAAGCCGUGGAGCGCUGCCUGGCCGACGGAGACCGUGACUGGCUGCCGCACCUGGUGGAGGUUGUGGUGUCGGAGGUUGUACCGGACCCGGUGCGCUCGUCGCUGGCCGCCCUGCUUCCUCCCCUGGCGG